rnacentral:rRNA from 1 species
CAGUAGCCGCGGUAAAACGGAGGAUCCAAGCGUUAUCCGGAAUCAUUGGGUUUAAAGGGUCCGUAGGCGGUCUUGUAAGUCAGUGGUGAAAGCCCAUCGCUCAACGGUGGAACGGCCAUUGAUACUGCAGGACUUGAAUUAUUGGGAAGUAACUAGAAUAUGUAGUGUAGCGGUGAAAUGCUUAGAGAUUACAUGGAAUACCAAUUGCGAAGGCAGGUUACUACCAAUUGAUUGACGCUGAUGGACGAAAGCGUGGGUAGCGAACAGGAUUAGAUACCUCUGUAGUCCCUGUCUCUUAUAC